rnacentral:rRNA from 1 species
AGAGUUUGAUCCUGGCUCAGAAUGAACGUUGGCGGCGUGGAUUAGGCAUGCAAGUCGAGCGAGAAGCUUCCUGCUUGCAGGAGGUGGAAAGCGGCGCAAGGGAGAGUAACGCGUAGUUACCUACCCCAGGGUCCGGAAUAGCGGCGGGAAACUGCCAGUAAUGCCGGAUAAUAUCUUUGGAUCAAAGGUGUGAUUCCGCCCUGGGAGGGGACUGCGUCCUAUUAGCUUGUUGGUGGGGUAACGGCCUACCAAGGCAACGAUGGGUACCGGGCGUGAGAGCGUGGCCCGGCUCACUGGGACUGAGACACUGCCCAGACACCUACGGGUGGCUGCAGUCGAGAAUCUUCGGCAAUGGACGAAAGUCUGAUGGUGCAACGCCGCGUGGAGGAUGAAGGCCCUAGGGUCGUAAACUCCUGUCAUCGGAGAGUAAGCCUUGGUCGUUAAUAGCUUCCAAGGUUGAUAGUAUCCGAAGAGGAAGGGACGGCUAACUUCGUGCCAGCAGCCGCGGUAAUACGAAGGUCCCAAGCGUUGUUCGGAAUCACUGGGCGUAAAGAGUAUGUAGGCGGUUUGGAAAGUCAGAUGUGAAAGCCCGGGGCUCAACCUCGGAACUGCAUCCGAUACUCCCAAACUUGAGUAAUGGAGGGGUAACUGGAAUUCUCGGUGUAGCAGUGAAAUGCGUAGAUAUCGAGAGGAACACUC